GACGAACGCUGGCGGCGUGCCUAAUACAUGCAAGUAGAACGCUGAAGAGAGGAGCUUGCUCUUCUUGGAUGAGUUGCGAACGGGUGAGUAACGCGUAGGUAACCUGCCUUGUAGCGGGGGAUAACUAUUGGAAACGAUAGCUAAUACCGCAUAACAAUGGAUGACACAUGUCAUUUAUUUGAAAGGGGCAAUUGCUCCACUACAAGAUGGACCUGCGUUGUAUUAGCUAGUAGGUGAGGUAACGGCUCACCUAGGCGACGAUACAUAGCCGACCUGAGAGGGUGAUCGGCCACACUGGGACUGAGACACGGCCCAGACUCCUACGGGAGGCAGCAGUAGGGAAUCUUCGGCAAUGGGGGCAACCCUGACCGAGCAACGCCGCGUGAGUGAAGAAGGUUUUCGGAUCGUAAAGCUCUGUUGUAAGUCAAGAACGAGUGUGAGAGUGGAAAGUUCACACUGUGACGGUAGCUUACCAGAAAGGGACGGCUAACUACGUGCCAGCAGCCGCGGUAAUACGUAGGUCCCGAGCGUUGUCCGGAUUUAUUGGGCGUAAAGCGAGCGCAGGCGGUUUGAUAAGUCUGAAGUUAAAGGCUGUGGCUCAACCAUAGUUCGCUUUGGAAACUGUCAUACUUGAGUGCAGAAGGGGAGAGUGGAAUUCCAUGUGUAGCGGUGAAAUGCGUAGAUAUAUGGAGGAACAUCGGUGGCGAAAGCGGCUCUCUGGUCUGUAACUGACGCUGAGGCUCGAAAGCGUGGGGAGCGAACAGGAUUAGAUACCCUGGUAGUCCACGCCGUAAACGAUGAGUGCUAGGUGUUGGAUCCUUUCCGGGAUUCAGUGCCGCAGCUAACGCAUUAAGCACUCCGCCUGGGGAGUACGACCGCAGGGUUGAAACUCAGAGGAAUUGACGGGGGCCCGCACAAGCGGUGGAGCAUGUGGUUUAAUUCGAAGCAACGCGAAGAACCUUACCAGGUCUUGACAUCCCGAUGCUAUUUCUAGAGAUAGAAAGUUACUUCGGUACAUCGGUGACAGGUGGUGCAUGGUUGUCGUCAGCUCGUGUCGUGAGAUGUUGGGUUAAGUCCCGCAACGAGCGCAACCCCUAUUGUUAGUUGCCAUCAUUCAGUUGGGCACUCUAGCGAGACUGCCGGUAAUAAACCGGAGGAAGGUGGGGAUGACGUCAAAUCAUCAUGCCCCUUAUGACCUGGGCUACACACGUGCUACAAUGGUUGGUACAACGAGUUGCGAGUCGGUGACGGCAAGCUAAUCUCUUAAAGCCAAUCUCAGUUCGGAUUGUAGGCUGCAACUCGCCUACAUGAAGUCGGAAUCGCUAGUAAUCGCGGAUCAGCACGCCGCGGUGAAUACGUUCCCGGGCCU
rnacentral:rRNA from 1 species